AGCCUGAUCUCGAAGGAUUGCGUCUCAUUUAUCACGCAAACCAAACUCAAAAUUGCGUCAAUAUAAGGACGCAUUCUCUUUUAUGUCACACAUGCGCAGUGGCCACUCUGCUGCCUGGAGCCCCCCUGACAUCUUUGUAGCCUAAUUUACUGAAAAAUAAGCCGUUAUUCAUGUUGCUCCACAUAACCGCGUAUUGCAACUUCAUAAUUAAAUCCCCACAACAAAAUACUGAGCUUAUGGGCUAUUUUAGUCACAUUUUAGUUCCUAGACAAAAGUCUGUUUUGCUAGGAUAUUAAUAAAAUAACAGAAACUGUUUUAUCCUAUACGAGAGCAUUUGUAGUAUUUGUCCAGAAGACUUUUGUGGCUGAAAACCAUUCAACCAGUAAGGUUUUUGAAAUAUUCAUUGUAAAUAACCCUGAUGUACCCCCACUGUUUAUGAUGAUGUCAUUUCAUCGCGACGUCCAUGCAUUGGAUUGUGGAUUUGAUUGUACUGCCUGCAGUCUGAUGUGGUUUGGCUGAGCUUUAUUCAUCAAUUGUUUUACGUCUCCAGUUUUCCCUGAGGUCCAAAAUAUUCAGUGGAGUGAAACUGUUGAUGGAAGUACAGUGCAUUACCAGGCGAAUACACCGGUGGCGACAAGAUCAAGCGACAGAGAAUCGCUGGACUGUGCAGCAAGAGUGAUAGAACAGCAAAAUGUAACAAGCUUGUCCUGGAGGACUGCUCUGAUGGGGAAUGCUGUGGAGGAGAAACAGGCAGACUGUGGUCCAUCGUGUGUGCUCCCAGUGCGUUAAUACACGGACAGUCCUUUUUAAGUGCAACCAGAGGAAUAAUGUGAUUGAGAGGAAGAGUGGCCCCAUACAUUGCUUGACCUGGAGCCUACCAAAGUCUAAGGUCUCAGGUAGGCAGCAAUUGUGGGAAUGUUGUUGGAAUGUAUUGUGUGUUUGCGUUACAGGGCAUUCCACUCAUUUCUUUGUGGUUAGACGAUUCAAUGUCAUGAAUGUCAGCCAAAUCACUGGG